rnacentral:rRNA from 1 species
CCUACGGGGGGCUGCAGUGGGGAAUAUUGCACAAUGGGCGCAAGCCUGAUGCAGCCAUGCCGCGUGUGUGAAGAAGGCCUUCGGGUUGUAAAGCACUUUCAGCGGGGAGGAAGGCGUUAAGGUUAAUAACCUUGUCGAUUGACGUUACCCGCCGAAGAAGCACCGGCUAACUCCGUGCCAGCAGCCGCGGUAAUACGGAGGGUGCAAGCGUUAAUCGGAAUUACUGGGCGUAAAGCGCACGCAGGCGGUCUGUCAAGUCGGAUGUGAAAUCCCCGGGCUCAACCUGGGAACUGCAUUCGAAACUGGCAGGUUAGAGUCUUGUAGAGGGGGGUAGAAUUCCAGGUGUAGCGGUGAAAAGCGUAGAGAUCUGGAGGAAUACCGGUGGCGAAGGCGGCCCCCAGGAUAAAGACUGACGCUCAGGUGCGAAAGCGUGGGGAGCAAAAAGGAUUAGAUACCCCUGGAGUC